rnacentral:lncRNA from 1 species
UAAGUAAGUAAAUGUAAUUUGAAUUUUGAAUUUGGAUCUUUUCCAAGCUGGCAGCAUUCUGUGCAGCCUCUUCCUACGAUGCUGGCCAAUAUCAAUAAGCUGUUUUUCUCAUUGGCCACACCCUACAGUGUGCUGUGAGCUAAGCGGUGACAUUCCCUGGGCUGAAUGUAUUAAGGUAGGCAAGGAGUUUGAUAAAAGAGGCAGGUCCUCAAGAGGUAUACUUCCUGACCCAGGCCUUUUAGCAAGCCACCUUCCAGCCAGUUGUCCCCACUUAGUUAACCAUGAACUAGAGGCACAGCUGGAGGCUUUUAACUGUGAGUUAAAGACGAACCAAUGGCAGAGGUUUUGAACUGCUGGCAAAUCUCAAACAUAGACAGGUAUUAAUGGGAUGGCUACACACUGCCUCCUAUCUAAAUAUAUCUGAGUUUAGGGUCUAUAGAAGAGCCUUCAGGGAACUGCAAAAUCAAAAAUCAACAGUUAAUGGAAUACUCUUCAUUUCUUUUCCGUUCACCCGAAAGAUAAAGCCUGGGCUUAGUACACGUGGGUCUAUUUUCAUGUUCAGCACCUGUUGCCCCGACUCUACUUUAGUUCUCCAUUAAAAGACGACCAGGAAUAAA